rnacentral:rRNA from 1 species
AUACGUAGGGGGCGAGCGUUGUCCGGAAUGAUUGGGCGUAAAGGGCGCGUAGGCGGCCCGGUAAGUCUGGAGUGAAGGUCCUGUUUUUAAGAUGGGAAUUGCUUUGGAUACUGUCGGGCUUGAGUGCAGGAGAGGUAAGUGGAAUUCCCAGUGUAGCGGUGAAAUGCGUAGAGAUUGGGAGGAACACCAGUGGCGAAGGCGACUUACUGGACUGUAACUGACGCUGAGGCGCGAAAGUGUGGGGAGCAAACAGGAUUAGAUACCCUGGUAGUCCACACUGUAAACGAUGAAUGCUAGGUGUAGGGGGUAUCGACCCCUUCUGUGCCGCAGUCAACACAAUAAGCAUUCCGCCUGGGGAGUACGGCCGCAAGGUUGAAACUCAAAGGAAUUGACGGGG